rnacentral:rRNA from 1 species
UACAGAGGGGGCAAGCGUUGUUCGGAAUUACUGGGCGUAAAGGGCGCGUAGGCGGCCGCUUAAGUCGAACGUGAAAUCCCCGGGCUCAACCCGGGAACUGCGUCCGAUACUGGGGGGCUUGAAUUCGGGAGAGGGAUGCGGAAUUCCACGUGUAGCGGUGAAAUGCGUAGAGAUGUGGAGGAACACCAGUGGCGAAGGCGACUCUCUGGGCUGUAACUGACGCUGAGGCGCGAAAGCGUGGGGAGCAAACAGG